AAUGGCCAUUGUAAGAGUAGA
rnacentral:miRNA from 2 species